AUUCCUCCAAGUUUACACAGUCUCUUCUAUGCUUUAGAAGACACAGGUAUUUGUUGAAGUUUAUGAAAGACUACAACCAGCAUAAAGAAUACGUGCUAGCUGGACACAAGGCAAUUCCUGGUGCCAAGUGUUUAUGUUGAUUUAUGGGAAGAAGGGGCUCCAGGAGAGGGAUGCUGAUGCUAUCAUGGCACUGGAUUAAAUGCCUAUUUGUACCUUUAUUGACAUAUAAAUUUUCCAUGCCAAUAAGGCAGUGAUGUGGCACAAACCCCUGGAUGUGGACUCCUCUGUGCCACCCCUUUCCCUGAUUCGAGUGAGGUGAAUACCAGAACUGAGCUAAGACCCCAACUGCAAGCUCUCACAAUGUCUGCUGCGUUGUAUAUUGUCCCAAAGGCAUUGAUGACAAGCAAACCUUCCAAAUGGAUUUUAAGAAACCAGGAAGACAUUUGAAAGGGUGGUCUUGGUUUUGUUCUGGUGGCUGUAUGUGUAUUGGAGCGAAUGUAUGCCUCAUUUUUCCCCCCAUGUUUUUUAUUCAACUGUGAAUUUGGAAGAAAAACUUUUAAAAAAGAAGAGCAUUGUAUUUCUGGGAAAUGGAAUCUGUCUCAGCAUCCAGCCAACAUCAGAAGAGAAAGCCAGUGACACAUGGCCUGGAAGAUCAAAAGAGGACCGUGUGGCCAACUGUCCAACUAUCUUUCCCUGGACAUGUAAAGUAUCACAAGAUAAAGGAUGCAAAUUUCUAACAUGAAGAUGAUAAGUGCAAUGUUCUGGAACAUAGAAGCCACAAAGGAAUUUGCAUAUUCC
rnacentral:lncRNA from 1 species